rnacentral:lncRNA from 12 species
GCACAGCCAGAGGUGGAAGAGGCAAAAAUGACAGAGAUUCCCUGAUAUUUUCCUGUGCUGUAAUAUUUGAAGAACAUUUGAGCUUAUGCAGCAAUUUGAAGCUGAGCUAACCUUCCUAUGACCUUGAAAA